rnacentral:rRNA from 1 species
AACGAACGCUGGCGGCAGGCUUAACACAUGCAAGUCGAGCGCCCCGCAAGGGGAGCGGCUGACGGGUGAGUAACGCGUGGGAACGUACCUUUUGGUUCGGAACAACUCCGGGAAACUGGAGCUAAUACCGGAUAAGCCCUCACGGGGAAAGAUGUAUCGCCGAAAGAUCGGCCCGCGUCUGAUUAGCUAGUUGGUGAGGUACCGGCUCUCCAAGGCGACGAUCAGUAGCUGGUCUGAGAGGAGGAUCAGCCACACUGGGACUGAGACACGACCCAGACGCCUGGGAGAGGCGGCAGUUGGGAAUAUAGGAGAAGAGGCGCGAGGCUGCUCCAGCCAUGCCGCGAGAGUGAUGAAGGCCUUAGAGUUGUAAAGCUCUAGGGGCCGGGAAGAUGGUGACGGUACCGGAAGAAUAAGCCCCGGCUAACUUCGUG